rnacentral:rRNA from 1 species
AUGCGCGCUCCGGCGAGCCUCCUGCACCGGACCGCCCUCGCGUCAGCCGGCACCGGCCAGACAUCGUCGUCGUCGUCGUCACCACCUCAGCAGCAGGAGCAGACGGCGCCGGUGAUGGCGGUGAACUCGGACAUGGUGGUUAUCCUGGCGUCGCUCCUGUGCGCGCUAGUCUGCGUCCUCGGCCUUGCCCUCGUCUCCCGGUGCGCAUGCCGGCGACGCCGCUCUGCCUCAUCCUCCGACCACUCUCCUCCGCCGCCCAAGGGCCUCAAGAAGAAGGCCAUCGACGCACUUCCCGCCGUCUCCUUCGCCGCCGCCGCUUCUCCGACGCCAGGGGCGUGCUCGUCCUCUGAGUGUGCGAUCUGCCUGGCGGACUUCACGGAAGGGGAGGGCCUGCGGGUGCUCCCACGGUGCGGCCACCACUUCCAUGUUGGAUGCGUCGAUGCCUGGCUCCGGACCUGUGCCACAUGCCCCUCCUGCCGUUCCCCCAUCAUCGUUUCUGCGCCCGUGCAGCCGCCGGCGACACCCACGGUGGUGGUUGUAGUGGCGGCAAACAACAUGUGCGGGAGGUGCGGCGAGGUGGCGGCGCCGGCUGGUGGUGAAGAUAGCACCACGGUCUUCCCUUAA